CACAAUAACAGCACUUACAGUUGACCGGGGCAGCUCUAGCAGGGCAGAAAUUUUACGAACUGACUUGUUAGGAUGCCACCUUUCCAUGACGGUGCCACGUUGAAAUUCACUGAGCUCUUCAGUAAGGCCAUUUUACUGCCAAUGUUUGUCUAUGGAGACUGCAUGGCGGUGUGCUCGAUUUUAUACACCUGUCAGCAACGGGUGUGGCUGAAGUAGCCGAAUCCACUUAUUUGAAGGGGUGUCCACAUACUUUUGUAUAUAUAGCGUACAUACAUCAAAGCAACACACAUAGGAAGUGGUAAAGCCGUAAAGAGGAAGAAUAUGUAUUACAGGAGAUUCCCUAAAAACACGCCACUUCGAUACAGCUAUGACCGGAAGUUACUUUUUCAUAGCAGGUUAGGAGAAUAAGGUUAAGGUUAGGAAAAGGGUUGGGGUUAGCAAAAAUGCUCUCCUAAACUUCUACGAAAAGUCACUUCCGGUCAUAGCUGUAUGGAAGUGCUGUGUUUUUAGGGAGUCCCGGUCAAACAUACAGGAACCUCAUGCUUGAGAUAUCCUGUUGGUACACGCCCCUUAUUGUGUGUGUACACGAGUACUCUGCAACCAUGUCAUCCAGUUCUUGAAGAUGUGAGUGUGUGUGCGCACAGGAGUUUGUGUAACAUGGUCCAUAUUCCUGUAUGCAAACUAUGAGGGUCUUUAUUAAAGAUUUGAACAGUCAAUUAUUUCAUGGUCUGUAUGGUCACAAACUGUUCAUGAAGCAGAGCUUUGCUCCGGUCUGGCUUGGUCAUUUAUGGUAAUGUUGAUUUUGAAUGGUUUUGUUAGAGUUGAUCAUUAUGUUGUAGGGUUCAUUUGAAGGGUUUUGUUAGAGUUGAUCAUUAUGUUGUAGGGUGCAUUUGCUCAACCCCCAGUCUGUUUGUUCCAUGUUGUGGUCGUAGCAUGUGUGCGUAGGGAUCAGUGUGAGGUGUCCUGUGUUGCAGGUCCUCUGUCCCUGAUUGGCACCCAGUCUGCAACACAUGAUACCAAUCUACACAAGCCAGGAAUUCGCCCAAAUUAGAACACACACUCAUAGCCCAGGACACACACGCACACCUACGCAGCCAGGCGCCAAUCACAAUUUCUGUUUACCUAGGAGGAGCCGAUGGUGGCACACACUGAGGUUGGUCUAUAAUUAUUCUCCUCGUGAUGCUCUGUGUAAACCUAGUUAAGAUGGAAACUUGUCGCUGGUUUGGAACUGCUAUAAUUGUACCAGAAGUCAACUCCCCUUCCCUGAGCUACACACACGGCCAUAACUACUCAGAAAUGGGUCAAAGUGGAAAGGCUUUUACUUGGUGUUGUGGCAACACACAAACUGCCUUGAUCUGUCUGAGGAGCCAUGUGCUGUUUCCACACAGCAGCCUCUGAUCUCAGCUUGGCACAAAAUGGCUGCCGUGCCUCACCCAGAUGGAUCCUACUGUAACACGUGAUGAGCCAUUUGGCACAAAAUGGUUGCCACACAACUUUGGUAGAUGAGGUGACUUUCCUCCUGGCCAGUGGCAAAAUUCCUGUGGUUUCAUGAAACUAGUGUGUAGGUGCAGUACUCAGUGUUAUAACCAAUGAUUUAUAUAUACACAAUGGUUAAUAUACAACAUUGGUUGUGACUGUUGUCAUGGUGAGUGUGAUUGACAGAGAAGCACUCGGGACGGUUUUAGAGAAAAAAAACAAGUGAAAUUUAUUCAGUGUUUCAUACAGAAGAGAAACACUACAAAGAGAAGGACGGUACAACAGGAGGAGUCAGGGGUUCGGUCAGACGGGUUAGAGGUCGUUGUGGUGGGUGUCAGGGGUUCGGUCAGAUGGGUUAGAGGUCGUUGUGGUGGGUGUCAGAGGUAGGGUCAGACGGGUUAGAGGUCGUUGUGGUGGGUGUCGGGUUCGGUCAGACGGGUUAGAGGUCGUUGUGGUGGGUGUCGGGUUCGGUCAGAUGGGUUAGAGGUCGUUGUGGUGGGUGUCAGGGGUUCGGUCAGACGGGUUCGAGGUCGUUGUGGUGGGUGUCAGGGGUUCGGUCAGACGGGUUAGAGGUCGUUGUGGUGGGUGUCAGGGGUUCGGUCAGACGGGUUAGAGGUCGUUGUGGUGGGUGUCAGAGGUAGGGUCAGACGGGUUAGAGGUCGUUGUGGUGGGUGUCAGGGGUUCGGUCAGACGGGUUAGAGGUCGUUGUGGUGGGUGUCAGGGGUUCGGUCAGACGGGUUAGAGGUCGUUGUGGUGGGUGUCAGAGGUAGGGUUAUUUUUGGGGGGAUGUU